CGGGGUGUCAUGUGUGAAUGGAAUAGGCCAGGGGGUUUUCCGUUAAAGGGUUGGGUUUAAGUGUGGAGGUGGAAAACUUCAAGGGGCCUAAGUGCUAGAUCUAGGGGCUUUAGUACAAAAGCAAGAGCAGAUCCGCUAAGAUAGUUUUGUUCCGAGGACUGAUAUGCGAAAGUAGCAUUUUUUUUCUAUUUUAGUUUUAGUUGUAAUGGCUGAAACUUUGGAAAUCCGUAUAAAAUCAUAGGAAAAGGAUAAAAAUGCAAAAUAAAUUUUGUUGGCUUUCUGAUGCUCAUAUCUACCUAGGAAAAAUACUUGUUCAUGUGAACUCUAUCUUUCGGUUGCUGAUUAAAAUACAUGUUAUUUAAUCUCCUUAUUUUGGAAUAAAUAGCUAUAGUACUCUUAAAAUCCUGAUAAAUUUAUAGUAAUAUUUUACUAUGAUGAAAAGUGUUUUGGGAAGUUUGUAGAACCAAAUUCUUAUAUAACUUUAGAUCUAAAUUAUUCUUCAUAUCUAUAGUUUUGCAAUGUUUGAUUUUUAAUAAACUUUGUGGAAGUCCAAUAAUGCUGAAACUUUUACAAUAAUGUGCUUGCAUGAUUAGUAACCUCUGUAAAUGAUUUAUGUUCAUAUACCUUCAGAUGCUACCUGAACAUUUAUUCAUGUUGAAAGUUAGUUUAGUUAUGAAAGAUACUUGUUGCUAGGUUUUGUAGGCCCACAAAUUGUUAUUUAUGCUCUUUAUUAGUAGUAUAUUCAUCUCUGAAAACUUCACUAGCAAAAUCUUUAUGGUUAUGUGCAUAUGCCUUUUGUUAGCCUCUAGUGUGUAUUGCUAUGGUUUUAGCCAUGAGCACGUUUCCUGUGUAGAUAGCAACAUGUUUUGAUGCUCUCUUUUGAAUUUUAAUCCAUGUAUGAUUGAGUUGCUGCACUCUCUAAACUUGACUUCAUGCAUGUGUCAUCACCUUUCAAUGAACUCAUACAUAUGCAUUUUCAUGUAGAUAACCCGCUAGUUGACGGUCCGUAUGAAUUGAUCGCCGCGCCCGAGAGUGAGCAGCGUGAAGCCUCUCCAGUUGAAGCAUCUCAAGGCAUGAACCAAAAUUUAGAAGAGCCCAAGGCUAGUUGGGAAGGCAAGCUCCGGAGCAUAACCCCUAAUUUCAAAACUAUGCAAUUAUCUUAAAUACGUGUUUACUUUUAUGCAUUAUGUUCCUAGGAGUUGAAUGAAACCUUAGUUGCACGAUCCCUAGGACUCCCAGGUUCAAAAUACUAGUAUGUAUAGGUCAAUAGAAGUUCCAUGCUUAAUUAAGAAUGGUAGAAGUCGAGUGAUUGCCUGUCGCUCGCGAGACAUAGGACAUUUCAAUAUUUAUGGCAAGUUACUUGAGAAUGAAUCACUAAUGAAAGAAAAGGUUGAGACCGGGCAGAGAUAAAAAAAUAAAGUUGAAGUUAGCAUUGUGGUUGCGCUCCACCUGUGUUGAUGAAGGUCCGUUUGUUGUGGCCCUGCUGAUCAAGUUUGAACUAUACUAUACACAUGCUCGAAGUAAGAAGUAGUUGAAACUGGUAAAACCUAGUACCUUAGGGCGUGAUUGCAGAUUGAGUUGGUCCUGUUUCCUAUUUAUGUGCUAGUCAGUAACUCACAGCAGGCCCGGGGAGGUACCGGUGGGGAUUAGCACUCGAGGGUUGCAAGAGUUCACAACUGCCAUCGUUCUUUAAGGGGAUCAUUUGACAUAUGCGGCUCGACGGGGCAUGCAUAUGUCGUGUGUACAGGUCUACCUUGCAAGGUUAUAAAUCGAAUCGAUUCGCCACCGCUCUCGGUUAAGAGAACCUUGAUCACCGUGUCACAUCGUAGUAAGAAGUGAAAUGAAAUGAAAUGUGAAAUGAUGUUGAUGUUGUUAUCUAAUCAAUUAUUUUUCCACACUGAAAAGUUUGAAAAUGUUGCUCACUUAGAAUGGUUACAUCAACCUUAAAUUGGAUGCUAAAACUUGAAAGUAAGGAUCCACUCUUAGUUAUUUUUUGGCAAAACAAAACCCUCAGCCAAAAGCUUUUCAUACUAGGAGUCGGCUAAGUAUAUAUCAUAGUCGGGUAAGUCUUGCUGAGUAUUAGUAUACUCAGCCUUACUUUGUUGUUACUUUCAGGUACUAGUGAUGAAAUGAUAGAGUUGGUUGCCGGUCAACCUUGGGAUGGUCGUCCUUUACCUGAACGGUGGUCGGUUGAGUGGUCUCCGGCCUUGCCUUGAGGUGGUCUUGUGUUGGAUGACAUGUGGCGGGCUACUCAUGUCGUCAUGUAUCUUUAUUCACACUUUAUCGUUUAGACUUCCGCUGUAUUUUAUUUCAAGAACUCUGUCUUGUAAUCUUUUAUGAAUUCGAACUCAGUUUGUAAAUUACUUAAGAACUCUAUGUUUGUAACCUGAAAUACCAUGUUGUAUCAUCUGCGCUCACCUUCGUGUGAGACUUGUUGCAUGUUGUUUCGAUUGAUAUAUUCAGUGGUUGCAUCGGGCUUGACCGACGAGCUAUCGGAUUACACCGUUUUCAAUGUGUGACUGAAUUAACCAUUAAGAUGAUGGUUAGCACACUUAAGCUGGUUUAAUUUGGGUGGUUCCGCCACACCUGGGUAACCCCCUGGUGGACUGCCAAUCACUAAAACUGACAAGAAAGUUAGGGAUGAUGAGUAUAUGGUUUAUGGGACAACAAUGGCUUUUGAAAUGCAUCACAAACCAAACGGAUUGGAUGUUACCACUACUUAAAAAAAGAUUCGUAGGAGCACCUCCAGAUCAGACCAAAACUCACCCGCACGUACAAAUAGAGUGGUGCUACUGUAGCAAUUCGCCCGCUCCUAGAAAUCCAUUUCCAAGAACGGUCACGUCUGAAAAUAGAGCCCAUUUCUAGGGGUGGGCGAUGGAGUGACCCAUCCCUAAAAAUGAUCAUUUUCAAACACAGGUCACACCAUCGCCCGCUCCUGAAAAUGACCUCUAUACGCGGGUCACCCCGUGACCUGUCCCUGGAAAUAGAUUUCCAGCAGCGGGCAACGGGCUCACUCGCAUCUGCAAGAACAUGCAUGCCAGUGAAAAUGUGAAGGGAAAUUUGUCUACAGCACACCACCAAAGUGCAGUUUUGUGCCGAACACAUCCGCAAAAUGGAUUUUGUCUCCGGGACAUCGCGAAAGUCUGGUUUGGUAUGCAACACACCACACCGAAUAAACUAAUCAUUCCCAGCUGAGAGGAUGGGUAAAAGGACCAUUUUGCCCUUCGUGGUGCCCAUCUGUCAUCUUCUCCCUCUCCCCUCUCUCUUCCUUCUCUCUUCACUCCGCGUGCAGUCGUGCUUGAGAAGGCCGCCUGUGAGCAAUAGCAAGAGUGUGAAUUGAAUGGCAAUGGUGGGGAGCUCACCCACGAGCAAUGGCAAGAAGCUCGCAUGGGGCAUGCGCCAACAGGAAGCUCCAACGGUGCAGGCGCACAUCACAUGGCGGUCCAUGGCGAGGAGCUUGAGCGGCGCGGCUGGUGGCGGCCGAUGGGAGUGUAGAGCUCGGGUGGCGCUGUUGGUGGAGGCCGGUGGGGCUGCGGGACUGUGGAGCUCGAGCAACACGGCUCGCGGCAACCAACGAUGGUUUGGAGCUCGAGCAGCACCGCCCGCAGCGGACGGCGGGGGUGGGGAGCUCGAGCGGCGUUGCUGGUGGCAGCCGGUGGGGCCGCAGGGCUGUGGAGAUCGGGCAUCACGGCUCGCAUUAGGCGGCGGUCUGAAGCUCGAGCAGCGUUGCCCGCGGUGGUCAGUGGGGUGGGGAGCUUGGGCUGCGCCGCUCAUGGCGGUCGGCGGCCAUGUGGAGCUCGGGCGGCACGGCUCGUAGCAGCGUGUAAUGCGAGCAUCGAGAAUGCGUGAAGGAGCUCCGGCAGGAGCGGAGCAGCAGAUCAACGAUAGGGAGCGGAGCAGUAGAUCAACAACAUGAGAAAAGGAGAGGGGCUGGCAAAACAAGAAGAAAGAAGAGAGGUAAGGAGAAGAUGUUUAACCUCCAAUGAAGGGUAAAAUGGUCCUUUUCUCUAUUAGUUCAGCUAAAAAUGGUUAGGCCCUGUUUGGUUACCCUGGACUAAACUUUAGUCCAUCUAUUUUGCCAUUUUAGUUCCUAAAGUGCCAAAUAUGUGGACUAAAAUGUGGACUAAACCCUUUAAUCCUCUGGUCCAAGGAGGUGGACUAAAGUGGACUAAAAGUCCUGGAAGACACCCCUACCUCUUAUUUAUUGCCUCCCUCCCGCCCAGCCCCCUCCGCUGACCUCCCUCCCGCUGCCCUCCCACCCGGCCCCCACCUCUGGCCUCCCUCCUACCGCCCCUUUUUGCCGCGCUACAAUUGCCAACAGUGGAGCACUGCAGCGGCAGCCCCUGUACCCUUUAGGCCUUCACCUUCAUGAAUCUGAGUAGGGAGUUUCCAUCUUCAAAACAGGUGUAUAUCAUCUUUGUUCAUCUUCAUUAAUGGACUUUUGUCCAUGAAUCCAAACAGGGCAGGAACUUCCAUGAACAAAUAGGGUAGGGACCAAACAGGGGCUUACUUUGGCCCCGUUUGGUUACAUUUGCUUAUUUUUAGCACCCGUCACAUCGAAUGUUUAGAUACUAAUUAGGAGUAUUAAACGUAGACUAUUUACAAAACCCAUUACAUAAGUGGAGGCUAAACGGCGAGACGAAUCUAUUAAGCCUAAUUAGUCCAUGAUUUGAUAAUGUGUUGCUACAGUAAACAUUUGCUAAUGAUGGUUUAAUUAGUCUUAAUAGAUUCGUCUCGUCGUUUAGCCUUCACUUAUGUAAUGGGUUUUGUAAAUAGUCUACGUUUAAUACUCCUAAUUAGUAUCUAAAUAUUCGAUGUGACGGGUGGCUAAAAAUAAGCAAAGGUAACCAAACGCCCCCUGAUGGAGUGUGUUGCAGACAAUAUGUGUUUUCACGGUGUGAUACAUACAAAAGGGGGCGUUUUCUUCCGGUGACUUAUUUUUAGCACGUGUCACAUCGAAUGUUUAGAUACUAAUUAGGAGUAUUAAACGUAGACUAUUUACAAAACCCAUUACAUAAGACGAAUCUAAACGGCGAGAUGAAUCUAUUAAGCCUAAUUAAUCCAUCAUUAGCAAAUGUUUACUGUAGCAACACAUUGUCAAAUCAUGGACUAAUUAGGCUUAAUAGAUUCGUCUCGCCGUUUAGAUUCAUCUUAUGUAAUGGGUUUUGUAAAUAGUCUACAUUUAAUACUCCUAAUUAGUAUCUAAACAUUCGAUGUGACGGGUGCUAAAAAUAAGUCAGUGUAAGAAAAUGGGGCCAAAAUCAACUUUGAUAGUGUGCUCUGUGCAAAACCACACUUUGGUAGUGUGUCGUGGACAAAUUUCCCAAAAUUGAAACAGCAGGCGCGGGAUCAAAAGCAACUGGAACAGCAGCCCGCGUGAGCCUCUCUCUCUCUCCUUUACCUUUCUAUCUUCUCACUCUCUCUCUCUCUCCCUUAUCUCUUCAGCUUCACUCAUCCUUCUCAUCCGUCUCUCCUUCUCCCUCAGUACAGGAGGCGCGGCAGGCGUCGAGCGGCCGCGGGCGCGGUGGCCGAGGCUAGCCGGACGCGAGUCUGGCCGAAGGCCGUGGGCGCGGCUAGCCGGGCGCCGAGGCAGCGGACGCAGAGGCUGUUGGCGCGGCGGGCCAGAGGGGCACGCGGCCGGCCGGCGUGGAGGUCGGACGCCGAGGCCGUAGGCGCGGUGGCCAUGAGGCCGGCCGGGCGCGGCGGCGCCCCGGUGGCCGGCGCAGCCGAGCACCCCGCCACCUCCUCUUCCUCCCCAUCCCGCGCGGCGGUCCCUGUGCGGCCCGGCGUCCGGGGUCCGCGCGCGGCUCCCCGUGGCGUGCAACCUGGCGGCGGCCGGCGGCCGGCGGGGGCGGCCAGUGCCUGCGGGCCCGGUGGUGCGGCGGCGCGGCGUGCAGGCGCGGCGCCCAGGGAGCCUGCAGCAGCGGCCCGCCAAUGCGGGGAGGCCGAGCAGUCGCGGGGAGGCAGGGCCCGCGGUGGUGCCGUGCGUGGGGGUGCAGGCGGCUCCGACGGCGGCGCGUCUGGCCGGCAUUCUUUUUUGUUUUGCUUUUUUUAAAAUCGGUUUCCAGGGCGGGUGAUGUUAUCGCCCGCUAUUUGCAGGGUCGGUCGACGCCCGCCCCGGCAACCAGCCAUUUUUUUGCUGCGAAAAGAGACGUGAGGCGGCACCUGCAGAUACCAUUCCCGCCCCCUCAAACAUUUUCUGUAGCAGUGACCGGCCGGGGAAAUAAUGGAAUCGAACAACCAGUUGUUUCCGCAAACUGAUGGCUAGGCGUGUCUGUUGUUUGAUUCUUUGUAUACCAAUCGAUGUCUUUAAAACGCUCUGAUCAGUUGUGAGCUUGUGAACGCUAGUCCCACUGAAGUCUGAAUUACACGGAUUCUCUAGCCGAGUUGCGCUUCAAUAUGAACGCCUCUAACCAUCAACAGCGAUUGGUUGAUUAAAGCCAUUCAUCGUAUCUUUAAAAGACGAAUCUUGGUCAGGCUCUAGGGUGUUUCUCGAGCACUCGUCCAGCCACGUCACCUAAAUUUUCUCGGUGGUCCAUUCCCAUACCAACGAUCAGAUUCAAGCCCCCGGCUUACAUUGACCAUCGGCUGUGUCUUCUUCCUCCGGCCAAAUUCCAGAACCAUCAAGAGCUCCCUCGAUGCAUCCGGCCGGCAGCCACCCCCGUCGCGAGGAGGUUAAGGACGACGUGGGUCAGUGCGUGCCGCGUAGGGCGGGCGAGCGGAGCGGCGUCGCCGGCUGCAGAUCCGGCAAGCAAGGGAACGGCCUCGGCGCCUGGCGCGCGGGACGGGCAGGCCGGGCCAUCAGCCCGUCGCUGACGCGCCUUGCAAGGUCUCAGGCGCAAAUGACCACGCACACGGAGAUCCGACGCGUCGUUGCCCACCCGAGGAGGGCUUCCUCGUGACUGGAGACGAGAUACGGCGGCCAGACCGCGACGAGCUGCGCUACGCCGCCGCGACCGCCCACUGCCGGGUAGCAGUGUAGCACGACCCUGUGCCGUCCAUAGCUGGGUCCUCCUCCGCGGUGGCGGCUUCCGAGGGCCGUACGGCAAACAUACGGGUCUCAGGCCUGCGUGCCCACGAGAUAGACAAGUACUGUUCUGUCAACUUGAUCCGUAAUUGAGCUCUGAGUUCAAUUCCGCUGUGGCGCUGUCAAUCUUUGAGUUACGAACCUGAUUCUUAUUAGGUCGCUCAAUAGACAAAUGGGAGCAAUGAUUGGUUAAAUUAUUCAGAUUCUUGGAAAUAUUAAUUUGCCUGUUUUUGUUUGAAAUAUAAAAUUAGCAGUAGCUUACAAUAGUGUCUACUUAGAACUUAUCAGAGGUCAAUUCCUUUUCCAUUAAACAAAUUUGUAUCGAAAUGCAAUCUUCACAUUUCAAAAAAAAAAGGCAAUUUUGAAUUGCAUUUCCGUAGUGACCGGCUCAAGGUAGCUAACCUACUUGCAAGCCCUCUUGAGUCUUGACUGAAGAAGCAGGAAGCCAACAAAAUACCUUUCUCAUUUAAAAUUUAUGUUGGCUUCUUAUUUAGGUAUUAGCUUCCUAUUAAGGUACCUGAUAAUAAUAAUCCUGCCCCUAACAAAGAGAAAUUUGACACAGUAUACGAAGCAAUGAAAAAACAUGUCGUUUUAGAAGUGUAGAAACACUGAACGACCAUUUUUCUUCUUACCUCGGCUAAAAAAUUCAAGAUGGAUAUAACAAAGACCAUAACUGUUGGUAUAAUCAGCAAAAACUCGGCAUAGGCGCGGCAAUGCCGCGCCAUGGUUUUCUAGGGCGCAUUUGGUUGGUCGCACGAGGCUCGUCCAGGCUCCAGCAAUUCAUGUUGUUGUUGAUUGGUUGCCUGCAUGUUGGCCAGAGCCGGGCUCGGCGCAUGCAAAAGGCACUGGUGAGUCUGACUCCCGGGAAACGAAAAUGAAAUCCGUUUCUCGCCGGCCAGGCUCGCUGGAUGCAGGCAGCUGCUAGCUAAUCAUGAUAUUUAAUAGGUGAUUAGCAUAUAUUAAGUGAGAUUAGUGUUUUUUAAGAGUGAUUAAGAUUUAAUGAGUUAAAGUAAGAACUAUUAAAAUAUUUUACACAAUAUAAAUAGCAUAAUGAUACUUGGUUGUAGUAUUUUAUCUCAUGCAAUAUAUUCUCGUGCGAGCAACCAAACAACUUCUAUUCACGACCUGACCAGAUUAAUGCGUGCAACCAAAUAAACUCAUGUUGCAUUCGUUGAGCCUGGCUAGCGGGAGCCUGGCUCCAGGUACGAGCCAGGCUAGCCUCAGCAACGAACCACACGCGCCCCUAGUGUGUCACUCAACUGGGCUGGCAGUGGUCCUACCCAAACGUGCCCUCUUGAUAACUCCUACACCCAUUCAAUUUGCACAAUACGUUGAUAUGGGGCAACAAGUGCGCAUAAAAAAACGUGUCGCGAAUGUACAAUCAAUGGCCCACUGUGUCUUUACUACCCGCAGUCGGUCAGAAAGCAAGCACAACAGCUCGGCUGCUCCUCUUCUUCUUUGCCACGUUGUUAUAAAAGAUCAUACUCUCUUCAUUUCAAAAUAUAAGAUGUUUCAAAAUAUGAGACGUAUUAGGAGUAAAAGAAGAAUUUCAUUGACUUUAACGAAUAAUUGGUCCAAUUAUAUGCAUGCUUAGUCUAUAAAGCUGUAUCAAUAAUAAUUCACAUUUCAAAUAUCUUUUAAUAUAAAUUAAUUAUGUAGCAAGUGAUGACAUAUUAUAAAAACUAGUUUCUAAAUCUCACCUUACCAGCUUUCGGAAUGUUUCCGAACCACAAUAGCUUUGAAAUGCAGCAGGAAUGAAAGGGAUUGAAUGUGUAAUGGGAAAACGGUGAAAAGUUGGCCAAGCAAUUCUUUGCUCUCUGUCUGGCUAGGCUUCUUAGCGCCAGGAAAGAGACAUUUUUUCUAAAAAAAAAAAAGUUAGUUCUUUACUCAUUAGACCUAUCAUUAGCAUCUUUAGGCCCCAGCUUCAUGCCAUUUGUGAAGGUCAAGCCACUAUAUCCUGUAUACUAAGCACACUUGCACUUUGAUAUGCACACUUGCUCUUCAUCCUGUCCCUACACUAACUGGCCCCCCAAAUGUAGUAGCCGAGGGACCUCUCAGCGAACGAGCGCAACCAUUCACCCUGCACGGCAUGUUGACCGCGCAACAAACCACAAGCGUAUACUAGUAUAAACAUCAGCAAGUAGCUAGUGAGCAUAAAAAACGUGCCGCAAAUGCACAGUCAACGCCCCGCUAGUCUUUGUGCCCGUCUUCUUACCACCCGGACCACCAGACCGAUGGGCAGCUGGAACGGCUAGUCGGUCAGAAGACCCAACAGGACAGGCACACCUGCUCCCCACAGCACAAGCCGAUCCCGAAUUCCCGAUGACGCAGCUCAGGAGUCAGGAGGCGCCCCUUGACCCGGAAUCCCGGAUCCCGCGAGCGCCUCGUUUGACUCCAGAGAAGAAUCGAUCGAUCGCGUUCGAGUGCGUGGCGCCGCGAGCCGGACCGGGAUGGGAAACCGCCAGAUCUCGCGAGCCCGUCAGGGCAGCUCCAUCGUACGUUUUCGGGAGGGUGCGGAAUCUUUUGGACUCGCACCCUUGCUAAACAGUGGAGCGCAGGGGUGCUAGCGCUAUCCGCAAAUUUUCAUUUGCGGAUAUAGGUACUGUGCCUUAAAGUGGCAACUGACAUUGCAUGUCCCAAUUUUUAACUUGCAGAUGCAUGUACUCUGGCUCAAAAUGGCAACCUAGAUUGCUCUAGACCGAGUUGUCGACUCGGACGACUAGCCCAAAACUAACCGCGAUUAAUCAGUGUCUAGCCACGAUUAAUCAUCUAAUCGCUGCCCUAGCGACGAGGCUCGAUUUAACUAUUUGAAAACAUUGGCUGUCACAGUAACCGCACGCGAUCCAGUGCGAUCAACGGCGAGGACCACAGAAGCGACUCAAAGAGCACAUGCGGACGCGCGCGCGCAGCAGCAGCAGCAGCGACCCAGACCCACACGAGACACGCGACCCGGACCGGACCCCCAGCACGCGCUCGUGACGUAACAGCGCUCAGGUGCCGCGCCCCGCCGCUCCGUGCCGCGCCUGCGCACGCGGCGGACGCGAGGAGCCAGCGCGCGGGCUGGAUCGAUCGAUCCGGCUCCGGCCGGCCUCCCGUGCCACCGAAGCUUCGGAACGGGGGGGCCUGGCCCUCCCGUCACCCCGUGGAUAAACUGGAAAUUUUCCCUCUCCCACUCGUGCUGAGCGAAUGGUGGUAUAUGCAAAUCGGGGCAAAUCGGGCUAGGUAAAGACUGAUUAAAUUUGAGCUUACCAGCUAGGCUUACUACUUAGCUGAAUCCCAAAUUAUACACUCAAGGGCUAGUCGUUUGACUAAACUCGCUUGAUCGAUCGACUAGGUAAUAUAAUCAAAUCGAAUCCCCUUGUGUCUAGGGACCGAUUUCUUGAUUAAUCAUUGAUAAAUUGGGGUGAUUAAUCGAGUGAUUUGAAAACACUGGUGACAGCACGUGCGAGUGCGAGUCCUUUUUUCUUAUCGAAACGCUAACGUCCAUCGGACGAUCAGUGUGUGCUCGAUCGGGAGUCAGGUGCUUUUCUUCUGCACGAAAUGUGGAUGCAAACACACACACACACAAAAGAAAAAGGGUUUCCACUCAACCAGGUGAGUGCCGAUGGCGUCGUUGUUGUUGUGCACAGACAGUGGUCAUGUCAUGAUAUUCUAUGUCUCCUGGUGGACCCUGAAGCUUUGAUAUGUGGGGGCUUUGCUGUGAAUUAAAAGCAUCUUAAAGAUCGAGUAGCCCCAGGAGAGAGACAUUUCGGCAGAGAGGUUACUUCAUUAGAUUUGUGGUAAAUAGCAACAUAUAUAUAUGAAUAUAUGAUAUAGUAUGUGUGAAGGAAUGUCACAAGCCAUGUGUGGGGGUCCAUUAACCCUGCUGCGUGGCUCCACUUUAUUCGUUCCCCGCUCAUUGGUAAGCAUUCCACUAUUAAAAAUGAAAAGUUUUGAUCUUCGCAAAAGUUGUCGUAAUAAGAUCAUGUUAACUUAUAAGCCAUGGCACACCCAUAGUGGUGGGAGAUUUUGCGUCGCGCUUUCUACAACGGGAUACGAUUCACAAAGCACCAUGCUGAAAUGGAACCGUUGUUUUUAAACUGGACGAUUUGCAACACGAAAAUCUCGUCUCUUUUCUUGUUUGGAAGGUGAAAUAAACGACCUUUCUUUACCACUUUGUUGCUGGCGUGGAUAUCGACCUUGUUUGGGAGAAAGGGGCUAAAGUUUAGCCCUAGGCUAAAGUUUAGCUCACUCAAAUGGAGUGCUAAACUUUAGUCCUUUGGGGUGUUUGGGUGGAGGACUAAACUUUAGCACCUGUGUUGACAAAAGACUUAUUUACCCCUACUUUCUCUCCUAUCCUUUACCCCUUCUCCCCUCUUUCCUUUGACUCAGUGCAAACUCUCCAUCCGCAAGGGCCCCUUAUCAUCUUCGAUCGAGUCCAAUACGUGCAUGCGUCGUCGCCGUCGUGCUCCUCCGCUUCAUCCUCCCGCUCCUUGGGCGACGGCGCACUUAGGGCGGCUCCGAUGCGCAGGACGGCACAGUCGGUGCCUCAUCCGUGGGGGCCGGAUCUAGCUCUAGAGGCUUCGUGGUGGCGGUGGCGACAGCUGUGGGCGCCAGAGCCCCGCAGCCGCGGCAGCAGCGAGGACCGCAGUGAGGCAGAUCCACGCGGCGGCGGCGGUGGCAGCGAAGUGCCGAGUGGAGGUGGCGGGGCUCGGCGGAGGCCGUAGGGUCGGGCAGAUGCGGCAGUGCCGGUAGAGGCCGCGGUGGCGGCAUGGGCGGCGGGGUCGGGCUGAUGCGGCGGUGCUGCCGGAGGCCGCAGGACUAGCCGGAGGCGGCAGUGCCGGGCGGAUGCGGUGGGGUCGGGCGAAGGCCGCGGAGCCGGCUGGAGGCGGUGGGGCCGGGCAGAGGGUCGCGGGGGUGUCACGAGGGAGGAAAGAGAGGAGUGCGGGGAGGGGGGCAAGGGGGAAAUAAUGGUAUCUGGGACCACUUUUAGCUCUUUUAGUCCAUUUUAGCACCCCUUAGAGGGGCUAAAAGAUUUGGGAGGGCUAAAGUUUAGCACCCCUCUUUUAGCCCUCCUGGGAGCAAGAGGUUAAAAUUUGGUUAAAACGGGACCCCCUCCAAACACCCCAUAUAGUACUAAUGAAUGAAAGUUCUGGGUACCAAGUUCCUUUUCCAAUUAAUCUCCAACAGCUAGGGCUUCUCCUAUCCCUCUCUUUUUUCCCCUUAUUAAGAGAGAGAGGUUACCAACUGCAACCACUAGCUACUUUGCUGUACCCAUCCACAGGAUUAUGAAGUAGCUAGUCACGACCAACUUUAUUUUCUAACCUUUGGGAAAGCUCUUGCCGGCCGCCACUUGCUAAUUAAACAAAAACAGUGGGAAAGAGAAACCUAUUCUAAAAAAGACAUGCAAAAACAACUCGUGUUUUGGUCAGACGGCGUGUAUACGUAGUAGUAGGCCCAGACGGCGCAUAUAUAGUAGCUUGUGAACCUUCCACGCGAUUGUACAUUUUGAGCAAUAUAGAUCCGUGAUUAACAGGUCAUGGAUGAGUUCAUAAAAAUGAUUUUGUGUUGAAAAUGAGAUAGUGUUCUAUAAUGUAGAGUUCGUAUGGGCACGCUAGCGGUGAGGUCACACUGCACACGGUUGUGGUAGAAAAAAGAUUUGAAAAUUCAAUCAAAUACAUUAGUCAAAAGGGGAGGACUCCACGUCCAUUUUUCUUUUUUCAUAAUUUGUGAACAGAAAAAAUGUCCUUAUGAUGAUUGUGUGAUUUUUAAAACUUUUGUGCAUCUUUGCACUUCUUCAUAACACAUAUAUGCGGAAAGCAUUCUAAAAAAAAAACAAGGAGGGUGGAUGGUUCACUUCCACAACUUAAUUUCGAGCUAAUAUUAUUUCUUAGCACGUGAAAUACUUCUAAAUUUGAAACCGCUCACCUUGCUCCUUCGAGACGAAUCAUUCAACUAACCGGGGCAUCCAACAAUAUAAAAUGACAUCACAACCAAAAACCAACCAAAGAAAAGAAAAUCAUCGACAAUAACGACACGAAUCAUUGAGGAAACGGUCGAGGCCAGGUCUUGCAAGUACGCACACACAGGCAGAUACGACAGGCUGGUCGUGUUGGGAGUUGGAACGCAACUCCAAGAUCGCCCAGCACGUACGAUCCCAUCAUCACCCAACUAUAUAAAAAACCUCUUACCAAAAAACCAUAUAAAAAUCGAGGGAAAAACAUCACAUAACAGAUAACACCCUAGCUAACUGCCCUACCACUCCCUGCCGAUAAGAACGAGCCACAUUUUUCGUCCGGCCAGACCCCAGUGGUUGGCGUGUCACCAUCUCCGCUCCCGCGAGGCUGCGUCGAGCCGUCCGAUCGCCGCCGCGCACAUCAGCGACCACCACCACGCUUCACCGAGCUUUCGCCCGGCACUAACUAACGAACGAACCCCCGGGCCCGGCAGCAUCACCAAUGAUCCAAAGCACUCGCUAGCUCCUAAUUCGAUCACCUGCCGAAUUAGCUAGGGAUUAAACCUAGCCCAGGUCAAAAAGGCGACGCUUCUCCAACCUCACCCACCUCGAAGCCACCCGGCCGCACCCACAAGGCCGCAAAGCUGCUGCCUUUAUAUACCCGCGCGCCGUCCCCCCGUGUCCUCCAACUCGCCAUUCCGGCAUUCCGCUACCCACCAGCGACACCCGGUUCUUGAACACCACCACUAGCCAGUCCCCAGAGCCGCGAGCGCCAGCGGUGAGGGUGCAGAGCAGCGACGACGUGAAUUGAUUGAUCAUGGGGCUGAGGAAGCGCCUGCUGCGGUGCUUCGGGUACGGCGGCGAGGAGGGGGCGGAUCAGGAGCAGAAGGAGGAGGCGGCGGCCCGGCCGGCGGGCGGGAGGCGGGCGGGGACGAAGCCGACGCUGCGGCGGCUGAGCACGGCGAACCUGCGGUCGCUGUCGCUGCAGGACCUGUCGCGGAAGCUGGAGACCACCAAGCUGCACGCCUUCACGCUGGACGAGCUCAAGGCGGCCACCAAGAACUUCUCCACCGCCAACUUCCUCGGCGAGGGCGGCUUCGGCCCCGUCUACAAGGGAUUCGUCGACGCCCGCCUCCGCCCGGGCCUCGACCCGCAGCACGUCGCCGUCAAGUACCUCGACCUCGAGAGCGGCGGCGUCCAGGGACACCGCGAGUGGCUGGUACGACGUCGCUACCAUCCAAACACUACCAGCCUCUCGUCGUCCUUUCAAUCACGUUAAUUAAUUGCGUGCUGAUGAAUCUUGUCUCUCUGGAUCUAAUCCGAUCUGAGCAGGCGGAGGUGGUGUACCUCGGGAUGCUGAGCCAUCCGCAUCUGGUCAAGCUGGUGGGAUUCUGCAACGAGGACGAUCAGAGGAUGCUGGUCUACGAGUACAUGCCCAGGGGCAGCCUCGAGAACCACCUCUUCAAGAGUAAGUGCUUCAUCAAUCAUCAAAAAAUUUGUGGGAUUCUCUGAUCUGAUCGAUUGGCCGACACUAACAUCUUGCGUUCAUGCAUGUGAUUGCAGAUCUCCUCGCAUCGCUGCCAUGGUCGACGCGGCUCAAGAUCGCUGUCGGCGCGGCCAAGGGGCUGGCGUUCCUGCACGAGGCGGAGACGCCGGUGAUCUACCGCGACUUCAAGGCAUCGAAUAUUCUCCUCGACUCGGUAAGUUUCUCUUUCUUCUUAGCAUCAACAGCUAGCGCACAGCACAUUCGCCGCAAAAAUCAAUGAGCUGACCUCUUUAGUUUUUUACUGACGAGCCAUUUAGGACGAUAAAGAACUGCAUGAUUAGGUGCCUGUGCCUAGUCGCUGUCAAGUUGCAGAUUGUUUAUUACCGUUGGAACCGGAUCCCUUUUGUUAAUGUUUCUUACCUACACGCCAACCAUGCUAAUUGCUCGCGCACGUUGUCAACGAUCCGUGUCGAAGCUUCGCUUCGUUAAGAAUUUGUGACACUCGUGCUCAAAUCUGAUUUGUUCUGCAACUACCGACAAAUUCGCAGCAAAACGCCUCGGCUUUUUAUUCUAGGUGCCGGCUGUUAGGGAUAAUCUAAUUUGAGUACAAUAAUUUGGUUAGUUUGGAAACCUAAUGCUCUGUAGUCUGUAGCAGUUGCAAAGUGUAACCAUCCUUGACGUGUGCAUCCCCAACCACUGUUGCGUUGCACAUCAUUGACGGAGUCAAGUGUACAAAAGCACAGUAGUUCUCCUUAUAAAACUGUUGCUGAUCUUGACAUUAUAGAUGAGAUGAACGCAGAUGUUGCUGAAUUCUGACAGCAAGUUUUUGUCAUGAUGACCUUCACUCCUCAGGACUACACCGCGAAGCUGUCCGAUUUCGGGCUGGCGAAGGAGGGCCCGCAGGGGGACGCGACACACGUGACGACGCGCGUGAUGGGCACCCACGGGUACGCGGCGCCGGAGUACAUCCUGACGGGCCACCUCACGGCGAAGAGCGACGUGUACAGCUUCGGCGUCGUGCUCCUGGAGCUCCUCACGGGCCGCCGCUCCGUCGACAAGCGCCGCCGCGGGCGCGAGCAGAACCUCGUCGACUGGGCCCGGCCCUACCUCCGCCGCGCCGACCGGCUGCACCGGGUCAUGGACCCGAGCCUGGAGAUGCAGUACUCGGCGCGCGCGGCCGAGAAGGCGGCCAAGGUGGCGCACCAGUGCCUGCAGAGCGUGCCCAAGGCGCGGCCCUCCAUGCGCGACGUCGUGGGCGCGCUGGAGCCGCUGCUCGCGCUCGACGACGACGUGCCUAUGGGGCCCUUCGUGUACACGGUCGGCGGCGGCGGGGCCGAAGCGGCGGAGGCCGCGCCGGCGCCGGCGCGGGCCGAUGACGAGGCCGCCGCGAACGACGAGGAGGCGGAGGCCGGCAGCCGGCAGGGCAAGAGGCACGUCAUGUCGGCCGUGCACGCGGAGAGCCCGCUGCGGUACGCCAGCGCGGUGAAGAGGCCGGAGAGCCCGCCGACGCUGAGCAGAGCAUGAGUAAAACGGAGCAAAGCGGCGAAGGGAUCACAAGAUUCACAAGUGUACAUAGCUGACAAUGUGUCCAUGAAUUCUUUUGUUUUUGGGUUUCUUGGUGAUGUUAUUCUUCCUCCCAAGAAUUUGAAGGGGAGAGAUUUUGUUUCCUUUUUUCAUUGUAUUGUUAGUAUACUGCCGAGAAUACCUCAAAUUGGUGUAUUUGUAUACUGGAAGUUUGAGGCAACACGUAUUGCAAAAGCUGUUCAAUUUGAACAUAUAGUCUCCUCUGAAUUUUCCGUCUACGAAUGCGUUGAGCUAAUGAUUGGAGGAAGAAGGUAGGUAAGGAAACAACAAAGACUUCCCCUUUGACCUAGAAAUGCAGUGGUACAAGAAAACAUGUGAAAGAGCACGGGAGCACUGAGAGCGAAAAGUUUGAACACCAUUUCAAAUUUUCAACGACGUAACAGAGCAAGCGAACUACCACCACCAGAGACAUGCAACAAAGAUUGAUUCCGUCUACACCCAGACGAAACUUCUAAGACUGAAACACCAUGGUUCCUCCUCCUUGUUGCCUCCUAGGGCACUUGGUUGCAAUUCGUAGCCUAUUUUAUGAUGUUCUACUAGUGAAAACUCAUUGUCCCACAGUAUAUAUUGUUUGUUGAUAAAGUUUUAUUAUCAUAUUAUUUUGUAUUUGGUUGCUCCAGUUGUGAAAAAUUAUUAUUAUGUUGUAUACUUUGGUUCCAGCAAUGAAUUUUUCCCUCGAUAUUACAUUGCGGAUAAAACUUUCAGUAAAGUGGACUGAAAUUCCCUAUCUACCAGGAAAACACACUAGCAAAAUACAACAGUCGAACUGUGGGCUGGAACACAUCCAAAUUAUUAUGGGCUAAAAUCUUAUUGGGCUCAAGGAAAAAUUUAAAUUGGCCCGUGCCGUGAAAGAUUUUUUUGGAUAGUAGGGUGGCCUGCAUACUACUGCUUGGCUGCUUGCAAUUCACAACUGCUCCCUCCGGUGUGGUGCCCCGAUGCCACCGCCUCCCUCGUCGCCUCUCGCCCCGCCCUCUUCCCCCGCGUGGGUCCGCAGCCUCGAUGCGCAGCGGUGGUGCGGUUGCUGUCGACGGCUUAUUCUUCAUUGGCGGCUCAAAUAUCUCCAGAUCCAGCCACGCCGGACGAGGUUGCCCGGGGCCAGCGCCGGCGGUUGCAGGAGCGCGGGCCCGCAGCUUAAGCUAGGAGGCUGACGCGGACGACGGCUCCUCAUCGCCUUCUCGCUUGAUUGGGGCGCUGGAGGGUGACAGGGAGGAGGAAGCCGGCAGCCGAGGGAUUGAGGCACUGAGACGAUGGAGUCAUGGAGACGCAGCGGACGGCAGAGCUUUGAUGGAAGAACAGGCGAGCUUGGACGACGUCGUCCUUAUAGAAGCCUAUAUCAUUUAGCUGCAGAAAGGGGUCAGUUCGUAUGUGUUGCAGCAGCGAGAUGUGAGAUGUCGGCUUUGUGCAUGUUGAUUUGUACUGCUGCGAACCCAAAUUCAUGGAUUCUGGAACAAGAACCUCAGGUCGGCUCAAGUUCUUGUUUGGUAGAAGCUCAUGGUCUUUAGUGGCUGUCGUGCAAACAAGGUGUUCGACCAAAUGCCGCUGCGGUCCUCAAUAGCAAACAAGGUGUUCGACCAAAUGUCGCUUAUGCUUUUCUGCAGCGCUGCGAGGCUGCGGCUGUGGGGCAGCUACAGCCGGCCAACAACCGCUACUGCAGCCACACAAGCGUGUUCAAUUGCUGCAGCCACUAAAAAAAUAAGUUAAUGGGAAUAGCUAAUGGUAACGAGAGCUGCAGCUGUUAAUGGAAAAAUAACUUUUCUGUACGUUGCUUAGACAGCCAAACGCUGGGCUGCAGCUACAGCUGCUUGGACCUGCAGCCGCUGCCGCUGCAAAGUAGCUCAAGCGAACAUGCCCGCGUCACCAGUGGAGAUACUGCCCGAGGUAACACCGCCCCCUCCCUUUAUAUUUGUUCGUAUUGCUCUGCAACAUUGGAUGAAUGGAUUCCUCUAUAAGUUGUUUCGCACAAAAUCCUCCUCAAAAUGCAUAACGGUUCAUGAUAUGUGGUAACCCCAUGCAUUGGUAAGAAUUGCUCCCAGCUUGUUGGACGAGAUCCUUUAUUAGUUACAGUCUAAGAACUCUUGUAAUUUUCGGCUAUAUAUAUAUAUAUAUAUAUAUAUAUAUAUAUAUCCAAAUGUGGAUAUAAAGGCGGAUGUUUUAUCCAUCAUCUAAAAAAGUUACAGUCAAGUGCUGUUGGUAUAAUUCCGCAACCAUUGACAGUUGGUAAUUGCUCCCAGUUUCUAUUUGGUUUUGCACUUAGUUUGCAUUCAGUGACCGGUCUGUUUUGCACUAAUUAGAUCAGUCUGUUACUUUGCAUUAAGUGACAAAUCCGGUUGCAACCUCUGUACUCAAUUUUAAGAAUUGAGUUUCCCUCUGCUUUGCUUAAAAUGGUUCCUACACAGUUCAUGAGAAUCUGACUUUGGGUCGAGUUCAUAAAAUUCUGAUACUACAACCAGUGUCUCAGUAAUGACACUUGGUGUCACAUUUAUUGAUCGUUCUAUUUUAACCCAUGACUACAUGAUAUAAAACAAACAUACUGUCACAUAUACUUGCUUGGUUCUUUCAGUUACAAGAGUUGAAGGAUUUCAAACAAGUCAACUGGGGAGUCACCUGUAUAUUUGACUUGUGAAGCUCAGUUAAAUUACUGAAGUUCAUUCUUCCUUUUGCAUUGUAACCGGUACGUUUUACUCCACACAUCACCAGAACUGAGUUUACACCCCUCAGCUAUUCCAGUCUUUGUGUUUUACAUGUUACCCUCUUAUAUGCAAGAACGACUAAGGUCUAACGCAAAGGUAACUUUAAGUUCUGGACUCCAAAGAAAAGCAAUGUAAGACUGCUUGUGUGAUAUAAUUUAAGAUCCGUGGCGAUGCUCUGCACAUUGGCUAGUAAAGAAAGAGGCACUGAGCUUAAGAGGUUACAAAUACAAGAGACAUAGUACAUAAGUCCACACAACUUCCGUUUAACCACAUGCUAUUACAAGUUUGACCGGCAUUCUUCCUUGGACCAGAGUAAAUGGUCUUACAUUAUACAUAGUUUUGGUACUUGGUUAAAUUGGCUCAUCAAGUUGUUUUCUGGCAAGACUGACAUUAUACCAAGCCAAAUCUUGUUUGCAAAUCAUAUACUUUGUCUUAGCAAAUAUGUUUGCUGUAUCAAUUAUCAGAACCUCCAGAGCAGGGGCAGUUUAAGCAGAGUAAUUCUUGAAGUUUUUUUCUUAUAAUUCUUAGAUGAGUUGCACUGUGGAUAUAACUCGAUCAAAGCAUAUAUGCAGCACACUAGCACAUUACAAUAUUAGUUAACAUGUGAAAUGCGUGCACAAGCAUCGCACUUAUUACAUACAUGUUCACAGAAAAGCCUUGUAGAUCCAAAUUCCUGACCUAUACAUAGGCACCACAACCACAUAUAUGGUAGAUCAAACACACUUUGAAGAAACACACGCGAGAUGGCAAGACUAAGUAUCCACGCGAACACACUAUCAGACACACUUGCACAAGUAGCAGAGGAGCCCGUGCACACAUGCAGGAUAAGCAAACACACAAUGCAAGCACAAGCAGCCACACUCAUGCAUACAUGCAUAUGUAUGCAUUGUAUUUGGUGAUGAAUGGAAGGAAUGAGAGUCCUUCCUCCUUCUGCGUAGUUCAAUUCUGUGGUGGAUUGCGUAUAAGUACAGGAAAGUUUGGGUGUUCUGCAAUGUCUUUACUCAACUGAUCCGCAAUGUCUUUACUCACCUGAUCCUGGAUGAUGUUUCCAUCACCCUUGAGCACAAGCUCCUUCAGAACAGGGAGAUUCUUGAUUCCAGAGAGAGACUCCAUCUUGGUGAAGGACCAUACAAUUUUCUCGAGCUUAGGAGCUGCAUCGGAAUGGAAUUUGAUGCUGGUGAUCGUGCUACACUCGACGAUAAGAAAUUUAAGCUUUGGGAGCACAUGUGAGUUGAAGGUGAGCUCUCUCUGGGUAUAUGACUUGAACCGAAGCUUGAUGCGUUGCAGACCUGACAGUUUUUUGAGGUGUUCCUCCAGAGUGCUGUGGUCGAGCAAGGUAUCACGCAGAGUUACCUUGGCAAUGAGUUUGUGAUGGUCAUCUUUGAAAAACAAUGGAAGAAGCUCCCUGCUUGUGCUGCCGCUGAUGCUUAGUCUCUCAAGAAGCUCAAGAUGGAAUGAAGUAUCUGGGUUUAUAUGCUGUUCUUCCGCAGCUUGGGCCACAUCUCCGGAGCUUUGUUUUUCGAUGUGGAUUGACAAAGACUGGAGGCAUUCAUUCAGAUCACCGAUCGCUUUGAGCCAAUCCUUCAGAUUGCCAUUAAUAACUGCACCAAGUUUCCUUAGCUGCCAUAGAUGGCCAAUGUGUUUCAACACGUCAGCAUCAUGUGAAGCAUUGACAUGGGACAGAACCUCCAUGUUUGGCAUUGCACUGAUCUUUCUAGGAAUCUGGACAGAGGGAACGUGUUUGUCAGCCAUCCUGGUGCUUGUAGUCUGUGUGUGACCAGCCAACAGACACUUGAGCUUCGGGAGCAUGAUAUCUUUUGUGGCAUCAUAGGGCACCCUGGUUUGCUGGAUGUCCAAUAUUUCUAGAUGCAGAAGGUUGUUGAUAUUCUUGGGCAACUUGUCAACAUCCGUGUUCCGUAUGCUGAGAUACUUGAGCAGAAGCAUGUUACUGCAGAUGUUCUUGAGGUACAGGCGCAUGUUCUUGGAGUCUUUUCUUGGAACAGGGUUCUUUAAGUAUGUGCAAUCUUCUAGAUCGAUGACUUUGAUCAGGUUGAGCUGCGCUGGAGAAAACAUUGAUCUGCGGCCCUUCUUUACAAGGUUUAGCAUGAAAUCUUGGAUGGUGUCCGAUCGACGGAGUCGCAGGUCGCUGUGGACAGAGAAGUGCUGGGCCAAGUGGCGCGACAGGCGCGGGUCCAGGAACUGCUCUUCUUUGGCACCGUCAUUGAUGAGCCCCUGAAUUAGCUUGUGCUGUAUAGUGCAGGUCCUCACCUCCCUUGCAUCAGUAAUGUCAGCAGGGCAAACAAACCAACGGCUGACGAGAGUGUCAAAGCAGCGCUCAGCUCGGAGCACCGCUCGCCUCAUGUCUCUUCCGGCGAUGAGACCUUCAACAAUCCACCGCAUGACGAGCCUCGACCGCCAGAUUGUUCUGCCGGGAGGGAAGAUUGCCAGGUACAGCAAGCAGUUUUGGUUGGCUCUUGGAAGGUCGUUGUAGCAAAACUUGAGCAGCAUCUUGCCAUUGGCUUCCCUAAUCUCGGUGGCAUCACUGUCGUCCGGUGGUAAACUCCCCGUGGAAACCAGCGUCCUGACUAGCAGCUCGUCCAGCUCUUCUUUGGUCCUGUUUGGGUUGGCACACAGGUAGUGGACAAACAUCUUGAUGCAGAAGGCUUGCGGCUUGCAGCAUUCCUGGAUCUGGCGUAAGAUGCUCCUCAUGUUUCUCCGGAGGUAGUCCGUUUUCAGUCUGCUUCUAUCCAGCACGGCCAGUGCUUUGGUAGACCAGUACUCAACAAGGGAGUGGAUUACAAGUGGCUGACUAGCGACAACGCCUCGUUCUCGACGAAGCUCGUCGGCAUGGGCCAUGUCAGUGACGAUCACUAUGGCUGCACUGCCAGGGGCGCAGUCGAAUUUGCCCAAAGCCUCCUUUAUCAGAUCCCACAAGCGCCCGGAGGCAGCACUGCCUUCAAUGACAAAAAGUGAUGCCGCGCCUUUCAGCCCCUUCCUUCUACUGAUCUCUUCGGCGAUCUUAGCUUCGUCCCAGUUGUCUUUCUCCUCCAUGUCCUUGCUGGCUUCGUCUGGGAACAGAUCAUCUAGCAAGAAACGGAGCAUGAACCAGAGGCCUCCUUUUUUCAGGAUUUGCUCAUAGAAAUUGAGCAAGGCAAACAAAAGGCCAAAGUCCAGCUGGAGCCAGGUCACCUUGAACGCUGCACUCACGACGGGAUCACCGAGUGCUUGCCGUACAAGGUCACCUCCAUCUUCCUUGUCUGGAGCUGCAAUGAAGAUGAUAUUGUCAAGAGGAUGCCAUGGCCUAUUUUGUUUCGCAGCUGCAGCUUCUUCUUGAUGGUUGUCAUACUUGGGGUGGCCUGUGAGCAACUCGACCAGCUUCUUGGUGUUCUCCUCCAGAAUGUUAGGCUCGGAAAACCCUAGAGUUGACCUCAUGAAAUCAUGGCUCACCGCCAUGAUAUUGAUAGGCCUUGCUCUACAUUCAUGAUCUCCUCCUUCAUCGUCGCCCGCAGUUUGAGUGGACAACCUCGCCACCUCUGUUCCUCCGGAUCCGACAUCCUUGCUGUUGCCCAUGGCAACUGACACCGCCUCCUCAGUUCCUCCUGAUCCGGGAUCGGUGUUGUUGUCGGUCUUCUCGGACAUGGGCAGUUGGAUGAAGAACGCCGGCUGCUGCUUCAGGGCUUGGCUGAUUGAUUUCACCAGCUGCUUGGCGUCGCUUCCCGGCAUCCCAGGGAGCUCGACGCCGUACCUCUGGCGACGUUCACUGACAUCGCGAGCCCGGACCUUGAGCUGCCGUAGCUGGGCAGCGGCGUCGCGCUGGGCGAGCAACGCGGUCAGGAACGACGUCGACCACAGCGACCGCAGGAGGGCCACGAGGCGGCCGCCGCCGUCGUCGUGGGCCACCAGCUGCCCACGGCCUUUGCGCACGUAGAGGUCGAUGCAGUUGCUGCAGUCGAAGGCGAGGUCCCGGACCUGCUUCAUCCACGUGCGCACCGGUGGCCCGUGCUCGCCGCUGGGGGGCGUGGUCUCGGCGAGGUGCCGGAGGAAGCUCUCCAUGCUCUCCAUCUCCUCCUGGAUGAAGCGCACGUCGUCGCCAACGCGUGUCAACUGCUGCGCCUCCUCCCGGAGGAGGCCCAGCAGGGAGCGGACGGCGCCGAAGGCGAGCUCAGCCAUUGCUGACGGCUGACGCUUGCUCACCAGCAAGUAUCAAUCUAUCUCAUUCUCAUACAAUCACCAUAGCUUUGCUGUCUAGCUAGGACUGAAUGAGACGGGAGUGACCAUGCACCAACAUGCAUGCAUAGGAACGGAAGAAAAGGGGCCGGUCAGACUCACAAUGAGGUUAUUAGUGACAGCCUGACAGGCUUUGAUUUUUUUUUAAAAAAUCACACUUCUUUCACUUUAUCCCUAGCCCUUUGCGUGUGCUAGUGUCUAACGAGAAGUUCUUCACCUGCAAGCCCUUUGCGUGUGCUAGUGUCUAACGAGAAGUUCUUCACCUGCAAAAAUGUUUUACAAGUACUCACUUGUAUGCAGACGUGGACAACAGCCAUCAUGCAUGAUUCAGGGAUGGUAAUCGUUCAUGAACCUUACACCUCCUUUACAAUCCAACUUAGCCAUAUCUAUUUUUAAUUUAAAAUCAUAUAAUAUUAUGAUCCAGCCCUUAUUAAGCCCGAUCCUUAAAUUUGCUAGGCUAAAUUAGAGAGUCCUUUACCAUCCCAAUGCAUGAAUGCCGAUUUUAACUUACCGAUUGAAAGGUUCGUUCGUGUCUGUGAUGGUUCAGCAAGACGGCGCCACCACAUGAGAGAAGACGGAGUUCCCAAAUGACGCCAUCGAGGAAUAGCUAGUAGAGCGUGGCGUGUAUGUGUGCAUGGGCCCAGGUGGCCUCUUUCCUACAAGGGGAGAUGUCUUGUAAUGGUGAAGACAAGUAUUAUCAAGUAAUCAAAUGGUAACGUGAAGGGGAAGCUUCCUUUCGCGGUUCCCCAUCUCUCUCUCUCGCGAUUCGAUCUCAUCAAUCUCACAUCGCCGGCGAUCGCCGACGGCAAUAGGCACGACAGGUGGUAUCAGAGACCUUACCUUCCUCGGCGUGGGUGUGUGGAGCAGUCAUGGCGGUGUGGGCGGCGGUGUUUUGAGGUGGCAGCGCGUGGCGACGGUGAUUUUUGACUUCGAUUUGGCGGCGUACUGCGGUGGAUUCCAUCAUCCUCAAAGGGAUUCAGGUGCGAGGAGCUUAGGUCAUGCGUUGGUGUGUUGAAUUGCGCUAUUCUGUCAAUCUGAUCUCGGAAAUAGGGUGGAUUUGGUGAGAUCUUGUUGUUUGCCGUGCUGCACCGGCGACGACGAUUGAUUUCCUGUAAUUUCUAUGCUACCUCGAGUCGAUUUGCAAGCGAUUCACCACGGCGCCACCGAAGCCUUCCGUGUAGUCCCAGCUCAUCCUAGAAGCAAUGGCAGAGCGGGCCACCAAGGACGAUGAGCAUUGGGAAGCUAUGGAAAAGAAGGUUGCCAAGGACGAGGCACGCUGGGACAACAUGUUGGAGAGCCUAGAUCUGCUGUUCGCUCGGGUUGAUGACAUUGACCAGGUGCAACAACGAAUGUAGGUGAACCAGGACCUCGCAACCAAGGCACUGGAGCAAGUACUCAUCGACCAGUCUGCACUGUCACAACAGAUACAUGCCACUGGUCAGGCGGUCGCUAAGCUGACAAUGGACAAGAUGCGGGAUAAUGAGUCAAACACGGGCUCGAUGGAAUAAGCACCAUAUCAUGAGAUGGCGCAGCGUCCUCCACCUCGACCACAUCCACAUCGCUCGGGGAGGGGGGGGAGGGGGAGGCUAACAGGAAAAAUUAUGAUGAAGGAACCUAACCGAAUCGUAAUCAUCUACCUAAGAUGGUGUUUCCUAACUUUGAUGGGAAGGAUCCUAAAAUCUGGAUAGACAAGUGUGAAGAUUAUUUUCGUAUUUUCAACAUUCCAGAGUUCUUGUGGGUCUCUAUGGCAUCAAUGAGCAUUAUCAAUGAUGCAGCUCGAUGGGUUCGUGUGCAAAAGAACAAAGGGGAUCUGGGCAAUUGGGCACAAUUCAUGGAGAAAGGAAAACACAAGUUUGGGGCUUAUGACUAUAUGGAUGCUUUGAGUGAGUUGUUGGAGUUGCAGCAACAGGGUUCUGUGGAAGAGUAUGUUUCUGCUUUUGAGUCUUUGCAGUUUCAAGUAGAGAUGCAUAACACAAGGUAUGACAAAAUGUUUUUCAUCACACAAUUCACCAGAGGUCUUAAGCCUGACAUCAGUGCUAUAGUUCAGUCUCAAGUACCUCAAACAAUGGAGAGAGCAGUCACGUUGGCUAGCAUUCAGCAGCAACUACAAGAAAGAGGGAAAUCCAAAUUUCAGAGAAAUACUAGUGCACAAAGAUAUUCUACUGUGAUUGCCAGUAUACAACAAGCUAAGCAAUUACCAGCCCCAUCUCAAUUCAGUAAAGAAAGGCAGAGGAGGGAUUAUUUCAAGGCAAACAACUUGUGCUUUUACUGCAUGGAGCAUUUGGAUGCCUCUCAUCUGUCUAAAUGUACCAAGAGACCAAGAGCUCAAGUGAACGCACUAGUGCUUAAUGACCUGGAUGUUGAUCUCAUUGAUGAAGUGUUGGAGCAGUUGGCUACAGAAGAUUCCUUAGCAGCUGAGUUUUGCUCAUUGUCUAUUAAUGCCAUUUCAGGGACUGAUGAACGAGAAGCCUUGAAACUCAGAGCACUAGUCAGAAACAAAGUAAUGCUAGUGCUGGUGGAUAGCAGCAGUUCUCAUAGCUUUGUCAGUUCAUCGUUUCUCCAGAAAUGUGGCAUAAGAGCUACACCAAUGAAGCCAAAGCUGAUCAAAGUGGCAAAUGGUGAUACAUUGAUUACUGACAAACAAGUCCUUCAAAUGGAGUGGUGGAUCCAGGGGUACACUUUUGGCACAGAUAUGAAGGUCUUAGAUCUAGGGGCUUUUGAUGCAAUAUUGGGUUAUGAUUGGCUAAAACCCUAUAGUCCUAUGGACUGUCACUGGGAGAACAUAACAAUGGCUUUCGAAGAUAAUGGAAAUAUGUGAAGCUCCAGGGAGUUGUACCAUCUCCUCCAACUCUUAGUGAAAUAUCUUCUGACAAAAUAGUGAAGUGGUGUGCUAGAAAUGAAGUUGGUGCAAUUGCUGUCUUGGAGGUAAUACCACCACCACCUCCUCCUACUAUUCCUCUAGAAGUACAAGCCUUACUUGAUGAGUAUGCUGAUGUGUUUGAGGAUCCCAAAACCCUACCUCCCACAAGACUCCAUGACCACCAUAUACCUCUAUUACCCAAUAUUGCACCUAUUAAUUCAAAACCAUAUAGAUAUUCUCCUUUACAGAAAGAUGAGAUAGAGAGACAAGUCAAAAAAACUUCUCACUGUUGGCUUGAUUACACCUAGUAACAGCCCUUUUGCCUCACCUGUCCUAUUAGUGCAAAAGAAGGAUGGCACUUGGCGUUUUUGUAUUGAUUAUAGAAAAUUGAAUGACAUCACUGUGAAAAAUAGAUAUCCUAUGCCUAUUAUUGAUGAGAUUUUAGAUGAAUUGGCUGGUACUAGAUAUUUUGCAAAGCUUGAUAUAAGAUCAGGGUAUCACCAAGUGAGAAUGAAGCCUGAGGAUGAGCAUAAGAUAGCUUUCAAAAUACAUCAGGGUCACUACCAAUUCAGGGUUAUGCCUUUUAGUUUGACUAAUGCUCCAGCUACUUUCCAAUGCAUCAUGAAUGAGAUUCUUGAGCCUUUUCUAAGAAAGUUUGUACUAGUGUUUCUGGAUGAUAUUCUUAUAAAUAGCCCUACUCGGGAAUCACAUCUGCAUCACAUCAAACAAGUGUUGGAGCAACUCAGAGCAUAUCAGCUAUACAUGAAGCUCAGUAAAUGCUCUUUUGCUCAAACUCAACUUAGUUAUUUGGGCCACUAUCUCUGAUAAAGGGGUGGCAACUGAUUCAAGCAAAACAUCAGCAAUGUUGAGCUGGCCAGUCCCUACUACUGUCACUGAGCUGAGGGGAUUUUUGGGUCUCACAAGAUAUUACAGAAAGUUUAUCAAGCACUAUGGCAUUGUGGCUAAGCCUCUUACCAACCUCCUCAAGAAGAAGAUGUUUGUGUGGAUAGAAGAAGCACAACAUACUUUUUUGCACCUUAAACAAUUGAUGGUUAGUGCUCCUGUCCUAGCCAUCCCAGAUUUCAAUACUCCUUUCAUCAUUGAAACUGAUGCCUGUGAAGUAGGAAUUGGAGCCGUUCUAAUGCAAAAGGAUCAACCGGUGGCUUUUUUGAGCAAGGCUCUAGGACCUGCACAUCAGAAACUAUCAAUAUAUGAGGAGUUUUUGGCCUUGAUUAUGGCAGUGGAAAGAUGGAGACAGUACCUCCAGAGACAAGAAUUUGUGAUUAGAACUGACCAUAAGAGUCUGUCCUACCUGUGUGAGCAAAACCUUCAUUCCGAAAUGCAGAGAAAAGCAAUGACAAGAUUGAUGGGUCUCCAAUUCAAAGUGGUUUACAAGAAAGGCAAAGAAAAUGUAGCUGCUUAUGCACUAUCCAGAAUGUCUCACAUGAUGGCUAUUAAGGCAGUUUCUGAAGUACAACGAGUGUGGCUGCAGGAGGUAUUUAAUGCAUACACCACAGACAAGAAAGCUCAAGAACUACUGACAAAAUUGGCCAUAACAAAUCCUAAUGAAUGUGGGUUCUCUUUGCAUCAAGGCCUCAUUAAACAUAAAGGGAGGGUGCGGAUCUCUAACAACUCAGCUUUGCAAACUAAGCUCAUUGCUGCGAUGCACUCCAGUGCAGUGGGAGGUCAUUCUGGAACAAAAGCAACCUACCAGAGACUCAUGAAACUCUUUCACUGGAAGGGAAUGAAGAAGGAUAUGGAAACAUUUGUUCAACAAUGCAGAAUUUGCCAGCAAGCCAAACAUGAGCACACUCACCCAGCUGGGCUCUUGCAACCCCUUCCAGUACCCCAGGAAGCUUGGCAGGAACUAACAAUGGAUUUUAUAGAAGGCCUUCCACCUUCUAAAACUUACAACACUGUUCCGGUGGUAGUGGAUAGAUAUACCAGGUAUGCUCAUUUUCUGGCACUCAAACAUCCAUUCACAGCUCAAGGAGUGGAUUGAUUGGUGCUGGAUAACAUUGUCAAGUUGCAUGGCUGUCCCAAGUCUAUUGUGUCUGACAAAGAUAAAAUUUUCAUCAGCACUUUCUAGAAGGAACUACUCUCUUUGUUGGACACAAAAUUGUUGAAGAGCUCCUCUUAUCAUCCUCAAAUUGAUGUGCAGUCUGAGAGAGUGAACCAAUGCUUGGAGAUGUAUUUGAGGUGUGCAGUAUAUGAUUCACCAAAGAAGUGGAAGAGUUGGUUACCAUUAGCUGAGUUAUGGUACAAUACAUCUUUUCAUACAUCCAUUGGGUGUUCACCUUUCAAAGCUCUGUAUGGCUAUGAAGUGUAUUCCAAUUCCUGAAGAUGCUUCUUCUGAUGCUGUUGACAUGGUGAAAGAGAGGGAAACCCAUAUGGUCGUGCUAAAGGAAAGACUUGCUAUUGCCCAGAACAAGAUGAAGACAUAUGCUGAUCUGCACAUGACUGAUCACUAGUUUCAGGUAGGUGAUCAAGUUUGUUGAAACUUCAACCUUAUGUUCAGCAUUCUGUGGUUCGUCGACCUUUUCCCAAACUAUCAUUCAAGUUUUUUGGACCAUAUCGGGUGGUGGAGAGAAUAUGCAAUGUACCCUACAAACUUGAACUACCUGCUGGAAGCAUGAUUCAUCCAGUCUUCCACAUCUCUCAACUAAAGCAGUACACUCCAGACCACUAGCCUGUCUACUCUGAUAUCUCAAAGUUGGUGGACCUGGGCGCUCCGGACUUGGAACUAGAAAGCGUCCUCGAGCGUCGAUUGGUGAAGAAGGGUAACAAUGCUAUUUCUCAGGUCCUCAUCAAGUGGUGCAGGUUGCCAGUUUCAUUUGCAACAUGGGAAGACUGGUAUGUGGUGAAAGAACGCUUUCCGUCUGCAGUGGCUUGGGGACAAGCAACAUCUCCAGGAGGUGGAGGUGUGAUGGCCCAGCAAGAUGGCGCCACCACAAGAGAGAAGACGGAGUUCCCAAAUGAAGCCAUCGAGGAGUAGCUAGUAGAGUGUGCCGUGUAUGUGUGCGUGGGCCUAGGUGGCUAGUGACUCAUGUAAGGGUGUGUGUCUUUCCUAUAAGGGAAGAGGUCUUGUAACGGUGAACACAAGUAUUAUCAAGUAAUCAAACAUUAACGUGAAGGGGAAGCUUCCUCUCGCCGUUCCCCAUCUCUCUCGAUUCGAUCUCGUCAAUCUCACAUCGCCGGCAAUCGCCGACGGCAACAGGCAUGACAGUGUGUCGUGGUGGUGGUUGUUGUUGUCCAUGUUAUAGUAUAAAAAUAGAGUUUUUGUACAGCAGUUUUGCAGAUGUAGCAUUUCUAGCUAGUUUCUGCCAUAUGCAUCUCAAACAACCCCAUGUGAGUAUAAAUAGAAUGGAUUUUAACCUUUUGUUACCCCCUUAAUGCAUAGCCUUCAUGCUUAAAAGGGUAUGCAUGCGCUCACCAUAUCCAGCUUUGGAGACGAAUCACUCUCACGCCUCUCCCCUUUAUCUUCUACCCAUUCUUUGCCUCCAACUUUCAACAUGUUGCCCUACUCUUUUUCUAUAAAAUAACGACAUCAGAGCAUUAUAAUAAUAUUAAGACGUACUACUUGCCAGCAAGAAGCUGAACAUCUUGGAAUGCCGUUUGGAGCAGAUUAAGGCGAUCGCGUGUCAGUGUAAGCAAAGAACAAAGGAACACAAAGCUAGAAUAAGAAAACAUCAAUCCUCUGCCACCGACAAAUCUAAGAGACACCUAGGGCUAGCAAUCUGCUCCUUGGGGAUGAAGAAUCUUGGGGAAGGAGACACGAGAAGAAGAGAGGUGCCGUAGAGGGACGUUUCCUUGCCUUUAAUUCCACUAUAUUGCAUCCCUUAUGUAGCUUGACCAAGAGGUCAGCUAUCCAGCAAAUUCUUAACAAACCAAAUCUCAAGCCUAACAAGCUACUACCCUGAACUACUAGUAUAUUUUUUUAUUGCUCUCAACCUCGAUCAUAAAUAUUUCCACAUAUUUAUAUUUUAUUCAUAUAUUGUACGCACUGUUCCUGACAUACAGGAUGUAUUUGGUCGCAUGCACCAUUUGAUGUUUGUAUGGAUGAUCUGGAUGGUGGGGUUCAACCAAUUUGCUUGUACCAUAUGGUUCACUCCUGCUAAUAGAAUAAUGUAAUGUAUUAAGUGGGAUGGUUUCAUCAUGGAUGGAUUGGUACAAUUCACCCAACUAAAAAAAAUCAUUAUUAUUUUGAACCAUUUCGUACAUGAAUCAAAUGAUACAAGCAACCAAGCACACCCUCAGAGCACCAUCUGAUACUUGGACUUUAUCGCAUCUGACGGGAACGAAAUGAACCAGCAAAUGCGUCUGGGCUAUCGUGUCCGCCUGGCUCAGCUGCGGUUUGUGUAACCUCGUAGUGGUGUGGCGUGUCACACUAGUUGUGGGCUUGUGGCCCGUGACGCCUUGGCUUUCGGGAAUCCUAUAGAGCUUCAGGAUUUUUUUUUCUUAUACAACUAGCAAUGUUUGAUGGUUGAGAUUCGUGUAGUAGCAUACAACCUUCUGAUCAUCAUCUUCUUCCUCUUCUUCCUCUCGGUCUUGAGUGCCACCACUAGCUCAAACGCGGGCGAGAAACUGAGGGCCUGAGGUUGCGGCGAGGUUGCCACCGGCUGCGGGUGGUGAUCGAGGCCGGCGGAGGUUAUGUUAGGGUUUUGGAGUUUCAGGGGCUCCAAUGGCCUCCGAGCAUAGAAGAAGGUCGGCUGCGGUGGUAGGUCGGCGGCAGCGGCAGUUUGCCAGAUGGGCAUGACUGGACAUCCGGUUAAAGAUGGCAACAAGCAUAAUGCCCGCGAAUACAACCUUCUUAAGCCCACGCCCGCCAACUAAAUCCUGCGCCCGCGCCCUCCACUCGCCACGGGUAACAGCCCGCGCCCUCCACUCGCCAUGGGUAACAAACCACGCUCGCACCCUCUAUCCGUGGGCAUUACAUGCCUGCGGGCACGCUCGUGUGCUCACCAGGUUCACAAGUACAUAAACAGCCAUAGUGCAUUACAAGUACAUGUGGCCAGGUGUGGAUUGAAUCAGGGUUUAGGAGAAAGGAAACCCUAGGAAUUGUGUAUAUAUAUAGACUUGUAGGUCCCACAUGUUAGAGCGGGUCUGGCGGUUAUGCCCGCGAACAACUAUCCUCCGGGUUUAGGAUGGUGCCCACGCCUAUGCCCGUGCGCGAGGAAUGAUGCCCAUAUCCUCGUCCAUCAGGUCUCAUGCUCACGGGCACGCGGGCAUUAUGUGCCUAUUGACAUCUUUACAUUCGGUAGGCGAAGGCUGGCGGCGGGGGCAACAACGAGGAGCACCGGAUUAGGAAGGGCGGGGUGGAAGGGGUGGGAGCGAAUGGUGGGUGGAUGACGAAUUAUUUUUUUAUUUUAACCCUUUUAAAUCUAAAAUUUUAAAAAUAACCCCUCCCAAUCUAAAUUACCAAAAACUAGCCCUUUUGGUCGCGCUAAAAGACGUGGCGCAACUUAUAAUAGAGUCACGCCACAUGCAAUGGCAUGACUAAAAUGCCACGAUGGCGCAGCCACCGCGUGGAGAUGACGUGUAAGAAUGAGCUGGAACGGUCACGCCAAGUUGCAUGGCGUGAUUGACAAAGCAGUCACGCUAGCAUGUAUGGCAUGACCAACAUUGAGCUGGUUGCAGGUUGCUAGCUUGUGUUGUAAGUGAACCUUAUUUCCUUUUAUAUUUUAAUUAGCUAAUGAGCACUUAAAUUCUCCAAACUUGAUAGACAUAAUACAUAAAGUAUACAUGUUCCAUUUUAAGAGUGCUUGCACUCCAAAUAUGGUGUAGAUAAUGAAAAAUCCUAUUUCAAAAUAGUUUAAGUGUUAUUGUUUUCCAAGUGGCUGAAAUGUCUUAAAUGUUGGAUAUGUUAUCAAAUAGCCAUGUUGAGGGGUGUGGAGUUUUGGAUUUUGUCUAAACACUUAAAAUUUGGACAACAUGAAAGUUGGAGUAGAAAUUAUACACAUUGUCAUGGAAGGAUUAUGGUUCAACGAUUUAGAGCAAUGAGAAUUCAAAGAUCAAGUCCAAGCUGGCAAAUUAUCCCGUUUUCAGCCUUGAUUGGAAAUCUCACCAUCCUGAAAACAGUGAUAACAAUGCAUCUUUGGAUUACAUUUUAAAAAGAUUUCAUCUAUCAACUUCAGAAAAUUUCACCUGAAAAUUGAGUAGGAAUAUCGGGUAAAUGGAUUUGGGAAGUUAAGGAGGACUUAAAUGGAGAUUUGAUUAUUUAUUUUGGAGCCUAAAGUUUGAACUUAUCACUGUUUUUGAUCAUGACAGGAUAUCACUAAAAAUCUGAAGCUAAGCUCGAGAUCACUUAACCUAUUAUAAAUUGGAUACUUCAUUUUAUACACCAUAUUUUAGAGCACCAAUACUUAAAAUGGAACAUAUACACUCCAUGUAUACCUGACAAGUUUGAAGAAUUUAUGGUCUCAUUAGCUAAUUAAAAUGUAGAAGGAAAUAAGGCUAAGUAGAUUGAAUUUUUGGGCACUUAGAAGAAGGCUAGCAAGGCAUGGAGCUUGUCACGCCAUACUUGCUGGCGUGACUGCUUUGUCAGUCACGCCACGCAACUUGGCGUGACCAUUCCAGCUCAUUUUUACACGUGAGCUCCAUGUGGUGACCGCGCCAUCAUGGGAUUUUAGUCACGCCAUUGCAUGUGGCGUGACUCUGUUAUAAGUCGCGCCACGUCUUUUGUCGUGACCAAAAGGGCUAGUUUUUGGUAAUUUAGAUUGGGAGAGGUUAUUUUUAAAAUUUUAGAUUUAAAAGGGUUAAAAUAAAAAAAUUCCAUCGUCAAAGUCCUAUUCGUCGAGUCCGUCUUGUGGAAGUGCUUCCUUGUUACAUGUUGAGAGUUGAAAGAGAGACAGAAAGAAUAAAUAUGAGGAUUCUUUUUAUUGAUUGAAUGAAUGGUCUGGUUAGAUAUUUAUAAAAGGGGAAAGGACAUGCCCAAAGGGCAUCAUGUCCCUUGAGAGUUGGCCCCUUCAUGAAAGGUCCACACCCUUUCAUGAAAGGUCCUCUACAAUUAUCUAUAAUAUUAAUUGAUCACUAAUAAUGUGUUUCACAACACCCCCCCUUGAUCAAUUAGCUCCUUGUAAGCUUCAUGUAGUUCUUGUUCAAUCAUCUUUGAUUAUCA
rnacentral:lncRNA from 1 species